rnacentral:rRNA from 1 species
GCAUAUCAAUAAGCGGAGGAAAAGAAACCAACAGGGAUUGCCUCAGUAACGGCGAGUGAAGCGGCAAAAGCUCAAAUUUGAAAUCCUUCGGGAGUUGUAAUUUGUAGGUUGGGAGACCCCGCGGCUAGUGGCACCAAGUCCCUUGGAACAGGGCGCCUUAGAGGGUGAGAGCCCCGUAGGUACCACAAUACCGUCUUGUGUCUCCUCUCCAAAGAGUCGAGUUGUUUGGGAAUGCAGCUCAAAGUGGGUGGUAAAUUCCAUCUAAAGCUAAAUACCGGCGAGAGACCGAUAGCGAACAAGUACAGUGAUGGAAAGAUGAAAAGCACUUUGAAAAGAGAGUGAAACAGUACGUGAAAUUGUUGAAAGGGAAGGGCUUGCAAGCAGACACGGCCUUCGUGCCGGGCCAGCAUCGGUUGCUAGGGGUGGAUAAGGAACAAGGGAUGUAGCUCCUCGGAGUAUUAUAGCCUUGCGCAAUACACCCACUGGCGACCGAGGCCUGCGGUAUUCUUUACCUAGGAUGCUGGCGUAAUGGUUGCAAGCCGCCCGUCUUGAAACACGGACC